rnacentral:lncRNA from 1 species
GAAGCUGAGCAGAAGCAAGGAGAGGCAUUGCGGCGGAAACGUCUCAAGCUGUGCAAAAAGGUUGGAUUUUGUGGCUGUUUUUUGGCCGUUUGAUUGCCUAUUUUGCAUAAUGUAUAGCUUGUUUACCACUCAUUGGAUUUUGAUAGUUGGUUGAUUUGGUUUUUAAUCUCAUUGUUGCGAAAAGUUGGUGUCUUUGCAAGAGGAAUUACAUUGAAUUAUGUUACUACUCUUUGGAUUCUGUGAGUGAUUUUUAUAUAUACCCCGAUUUUGUAUAUAUAAAUUGGUACAAGUUAUUAGGUUCUUCAAAUAUUGGCUGCCUUUCAAUGUUUAGAACUAACCCAACUUAAAUAAUGAAUAAUUUCUCUUUAGUUCUUGAGUGCCCUGCCUUUCUUUCAUCUGGAUCGUAGAACAGAAUAUUAGGAUAUGGCCUUCUCAGAAUCUAGAAUAUGUUUCUAGCACAGUGGAUGUUUUCAGGAUUUUGUUUUACCUCCACCAUGUGCCAUCAACAAGUUUAUUAGUAUAAACGUGUAGGAUAUGUAAUCUAUGUUCUGUUAUCUGCCACUUUAAAUCUUACUUCAUUUUGUUUGUAUUCGGUUUUAAUUAUUAUGCGUUCAAUUGUUCCAGGGGAAUUCUAUAUCGACUACAAAGUACAACUUCAUUACAUUUUUGCCGAAAGGACUCUUUGAACAGGUAAUUCACGGGCCUUCAAUGAAUUUGAUUUUAGUUUUCAAUCAAUCUGCUUGCUGAUGCAGUUCGAAGCUUAUCUGAUUUUUUGUGAUGAAGUGUAGUUAUAUCAUUUUGCUAUGCGUUAUGCAUAAACAAAUUGACUAGAGUGUAUGUAUGCAGUGUGUGUGUGUAGUGUAGUUAUAUCAUUUUAUUUUGUCAUGGUCCUGAGAAGUUGUUACACUGCCAGUGUGUAUGUAUGCAGUGUGUGUGUGUAGUGUAUGUAGUGUGUGUGUGUAGUGUAUGUAGUGUGUGUAUGUAUGUACUGUGUUUGCAGUGUGUAUGUAUGCAGUGUGUGUGUGUGUAGUGUGUUUGCAGUGUGUGUGUGCAGGGUGUAUGCAGUGUGUGUGUACUUGCAGGGUAUGUGUGUAGUGUAUGUUUGCAGUGUGUAUGUAUGCAGUGUGUGUGUGUAGUGUGUUUGCAGUGUGUGUGUGCAGGGUGUAUGCAGUGUGUAUGUAUGCAGUGUGUGUGUGUAGUGUAUGUAGUGUGUGUAGUGUAUGUAGUGUGUGUAGUGUAUGUAGUGUGUGUAUAUGUGUAAUGUUUGCAGUGUGUAUGUAUGCAGUGUGUGUGUGUAGUGUGUUUGCAGUGUGUGUGUGCAGGGUGUAUGCAGUGUGUAUGUAUGCAGUGUGUGUGUGUAGUGUAUGUAGUGUGUGUAGUGUAUGUAGUGUGUGUAUAUGUGUAGUGUUUGCAGUGUGUAUGUAUGCAGUGUGUGUGUGUGUAGUGUGUUUGCAGUGUGUAUGUAUGCAGGGUGUAUGCAGUGUGUGUGUACUUGCAGGGUGUGUGUGUAGUGUAUGCAGUGUGUGUGUGUAGUGUAUGUAGUGUGUGUAUGCACUGUAUGCAGUGUGUGUAUGUAUGUAUGCAGUGUGUGUAUGUAUGUAUGCAGUGUGUGUGUGUACUUGGUUUAUAACCAUGAUAUUACAAUGUGAAUGUUUUGUAUUGUGUGGGGUUGAUGCUGAA